GGGUUUGAUUAUGGCUCAGAUUGAACGCUGGCGGCGUGCUUAACACAUGCAAGUCGAACGAACCUUCGGGUUAGUGGCGGACGGGUGAGUAACGCGUGAGAAUCUGCCCUCAGGAGGGGGAUAACAGCUGGAAACGGCUGCUAAUACCCCAUAUGCCGCGAGGUGAAAUGAAUUUCGCCUGAGGAUGAGCUCGCGUCUGAUUAGCUAGUUGGUGUGGGUAAUGGCUCACCAAGGCAUCGAUCAGUAGCUGGUCUGAGAGGAUGAUCAGCCACACUGGGACUGAGACACGGCCCAGACUCCUACGGGAGGCAGCAGUGGGGAAUCUUAGACAAUGGGCGCAAGCCUGAUCUAGCCAUGCCGCGUGAGUGAUGAAGGCCUUAGGGUCGUAAAGCUCUUUCGCCAGAGAUGAUAAUGACAGUAUCUGGUAAAGAAACCCCGGCUAACUCCGUGC
rnacentral:rRNA from 1 species